rnacentral:rRNA from 1 species
CGUGUAGGCGGUUUUUUAAGUCUGAUGUGAAAGCCCCGGGCUCAACCUGGGAAGUGCAUUGGAUACUGGAAGACUUGAGUACGGGAGAGGGUAGUGGAAUUCCUAGUGUAGGAGUGAAAUCCGUAGAUAUUAGGAGGAACACCGGUGGCGAAGGCGGCUGCCUGGACCGAUACUGACGCUGAGACGCGAAAGCGUGGGGAGCAAACA